ACCUUAUUCAGUACUACACUAGGUUUAGGCCUAAAAUAUUGUAUGAAAGAAUGGAUUUUUCCUAUUCUCUUAAAUUGUAGCCUUCUUUACAGGUGCCAACAUGCACAGUAUUUUGAUCCUGUUGUGUGUACAUGUGCUUUACAACAGGAAGUAUAAAACAUUGUUCCCCACACAACAAGCAAGGACUCAACGCAACUACGCAGACGCAAUGUUAGAGGCAAAGCUAGCCUUCUUUGGGACACCCCUAUUCACUCAGUGGACACGUCUAUUUAAUGGGACACUUUUCUUGGUCCCGAAGGUAAUCCCUUAAUAACAGGGGUUCUACUGUAAUGUAUUUGCACACGUUCCAACCCCUACCCCUAGACCUAAAAAAAUCGGGAGGCGCAGGUGAAGGGUGCCCCCAUUUCCCACCAAUUAGUACAGCCAAUGGACGUCGAUGUGAAGCCAAAAUACAAAGAUGCGUCAGCACAGUAUUAUUCAGCACAGCCUUUGAACCACGACCACUGGUAUGUCCAAAAUUUUCGGGAUAAAUGUAUGCAAACACCAAGUGUACCUUCCAUAGACACCCAUGACAUGAAUGAUAAGCAGUUCAAAUUCUUUACUGGGCUAUCAUCUACCACAUUUUGGGUUUUACUGUCAUCGAUUAUGUGUGGACCACAACUUCCAUCACAUUCUCUACUAGUGGCUGAACAGUUUUUAAUGGUAUUAAUGAGACUCUGUUUAGGUCUGUUGCUACCAAAUUUAGGUUAUAGGUUUAAAAUAUUAACAUCGACAGCAAGCAAAAUAUUUAGCAGGUGGACAAUAUUAUUAGGACAAUAUUCAAAGAACCUUGUCCACUGGAUACCGAGCUACGGCCUAAAUAGGAUACGUCCAAAAUGUUUUGUGGAAAACUACUCUAAAGUUACAUGCAUAAUUGAUUGCACAGAAAUAUUUGUACAACAAAGAUUUAAUGCAACGAGUGCAAACAUAUUCAAAUUACAAAUCACAUAAUACAUACAAAGCCCUUUAUUGUAUUGCUUGCACCCAAUGGGUUUGUUACGUUUGUAAUGGUCGAUAGAGGGUUUACCAUCGAAGACCAUUCAUGAUCAAACUGAACAUCAACUAUUACAUUGUCAAUUUCGCUCCAAACAAAAAAUUUACAUUUUGAUGCUCUGGCACAAAACAUGCCAACCUGUACUUGAUAGUAAUAACCACUUGCUGCUGCAGUUUGCUUUAGUUCAUACAUCCCAUUUAUCAUUUUAACUUUCCAUUUACCCCCCUGUAUUACCCCUUUGACAGUACCACCAAACUUGUCCAACUUUUCCUUAGUUAAUUUUAUUUCUAAUAUUGUUUCAUCAUCGAUAAUGCCAUCCAAACUGGCACCUAAACAACUGGUUUCUGGCCAACAAAAAAAGUCCUGUUUUGUAGAAACCUUGCAGUUAGUUAAAUCUUUGAAGCAUUGUCUCGCUAUUGGUUCAAAUUUUGAACCAUACCGCGUACUGUAGCUUUGUUACCAUGAAAGCACGGCUGCAUAUGGUCUUGUAUCCAACGCGACACAUCAGUUGUCUCCUUUUUUGGUACAGAGCCUGCCGUACUCCCAGUUAUCCUUAAUUUGCGUUGUGAGGUCCACAAAGCCGAGUCCUGUUGUGCUGUUUCAACAGCUAACCGUGAUGCUGGACUAUCGUUCAACAAAACAUAUUCAGUAUAUCUUUUGACAAGCCCUGCAGCGUAGCUCAUUAGAAGAAUGAUCAUCAUGGUUGAUUGUUUUACUUCUGGAGUGUUCAGGAUUAACAGUGUGGUUCAAUAAUAAACCUGGAAUGUUGCUUAGUUCUUUCAUAACGUUGCUGGUAUGAUGUUUUUUCAUGUCCUCAUCGGUUUUGAACUUAAGAAAGUUGGAUGAUAAGCAUAGCCUCUUUUCGCCGCUUCUGAUAUUUUCCACCGAAUCAGGUACAACAUUCCUCUUUGUUCCUCGAUUCCAUACCAUUGCCAUGUCAGUACAAACUUUGCCAAUUAAGCCUUGUUUGUUAGCUUCAAAGAUUUUGAAGACUAUAGCCAGCAGUAUGACUGCAACACUUGCCUCUUGCAGCAAUACAUUCACAGUCCACAUCAAUAAUUUGAUUGUCAUCUUUAUUAACUGUAAUCUGGACAUCAUGUUCCCUUCCGAUAAUGUGUGAGUAACAGACUUUGGCCUUAAGAUCAAUGAUCCUGCACUGUAUAGAUUUGUACUUGUGGAACACUGUCAAUCCAGUUAGAGUUGAAGUAAUUUUGUCCUUCAAGAAUGCUUCUGUAGUUAUGAUUUGGCUGACCAUCACAUGCAGGGGCAUAAACAAAAUAAUCUGUUAUGUCUGAAAAUAAAUGCAAAAAAAGAAAGUUACUAUAUUGCAUUAAAAUAAGUAAAUAAAAAUAAAUAAGGGUUUGGUCUGGAAGGUAUCCCCAUAAUAGGGGCUCUACUGUAAUGUAUUUAGGUCUGGGACAUUAGCAUUUUAAAGGACCCUCAAAUUCACAAUUUGUAGGCGUGGGAGUAUAUCGGUAAGUAUUCUCUGAGGAAUACAUAGGCCUAGUUGUAUUAGCUGCUGAAGAUGCAGAUGCGAUGAAUUGAGGCAAAGCUAGCCUUCUUUGGGACACACCUAUUCACUCAGUGAAUACCUCUAUUUAAUGGGACACUUUAUUGGUCCAGAAGGUAUCCCCUUAAUAGGGGCUCUACUGUAAUGUAUUUAGGUCUGAGACAAUAACAUUUUAAUGAACCCGCAAAUUCAAAAUUUGUAGGCGUGGGAGUAUCGGCAAGUACUCUCUGAGAAAAAUAUACCAUAGCCGUAUUAGCUGCAGGAGGUGUUACGGAGAAAAAGGUGGGAUUAGUUUAGGGGUGAUUGUAGACACGUUAUUCCCGGAGUUGAUACUUAUUGUAGUGAUGAUGGGAGAAUGUAACCCAGGACUCCGGGUAGGUCUUCAAUAAACCAGAAUGAUGAGUCCUUCCUUAUUUUCCGAUACACAAAAGAAUACAUUGCAAGUUAAUGCUGUGAGGUCUAGACUCAAUUUUUCUUUAGUGGGCAAACAUCACACCUUGUACUGACUUUCACAGAUUCUGGCAUGUGUACACCAACAUUUUGUAGUCAAAUGUCAUGUUGUUUAAUGCGCCCAGAAUUGGCACGUUUCUGCGUUAACCAUUUAUUGAGUGCUCAAAAUAAGCAUUAAUACAUAUUAUUAACAAGCCCUUAAGAUCCAGUACCACCAUUUUAUAGAUUUUCUAUACACCCUCCUGUGAUAUCAGCUUUAUCCUAAUAAAGGAGUUGUAGUCUGACGCUACAGUUGGACAGGGAACAAUUUGAGAUUCGUAUUUUAUUUCUUUUCAAAAUGGUGGUUUCCCUGCCAUGGUACAGUAGUUAGAGAUAAAAAGCAUUAACUUUUUAUCCAUCCAUCUGAAUACAUUGAUUACUUUUUCAGUUAUUUUAGGCUGGUGGUCUCCCCUAUUAUUUAAUUUGCAAAUAAAUAUAUUUAUUUUUUAGCCUUGCAACUGCAAUGGCUCUCUUCUCUUCAAAAUCUUCUGUAGAUGCAUCAAGGAAUUUCACAUUCUGCUGCUGGUAGUUAGGAUUAACUGGUCUGGUAGCUGAUGUUCCUAUCUUGGGCAGUCUUUUAAAAAAGACACUGUUAUAUUGUUGAUGUCUGUAUUUCUGAUAUUCAAAGUGCUGCAUAGACUAUGUUCAUCUUUUGAGCUUAUGGCCAAAUUUUAUAAUCUCUCUUUGCAUACUCAACUUCUUUCUAUAUAAUGCAAUCAUCAUUGUCUGAGGGCUUCUACUAAAAUAACAAAAAGUCUUCUAAUUCAAUGAAAGUCUGGUAGUGAAGGAUAUGUUCUUAUGAAGUGUUCUCGGGAAGCAUUCUUCCACGGUCUCCUCCCAGCCAUUCCUCUCAAGUGUAAAUAAAUGACCUGGUGCAGGCGUUGUGAGUAAUAGGACACUCGGCAUAUCUAGGAAUGAACUUGCAGUAAUGCCCAGUUGAACUUAAAAUGCCUGUACAUUACAUUUAGAAAUGGGCCUUGGGAAGUCUUUAACAGCUUCAGUGACCCACUACUGUACCAAUUUUGUGUCCAAAAUACGACACUUGGAUUGCCAAUAUGACAUUUAACUGGCUUUGCCAUGCCUCACCAAUCUUAUCUAGGUGGGUGAGUUAUGUGGUUUUCACAUGCAGCAAUAAAUAUCCCAAUAUCGCCAGUGUAUGCUCGUGAAAAUGUAUCACAUCCACGUUAAACAAAGAUUGUAUUUUUCUCUUUAAAUAGAGAAAACACCUGCAAAUGAGCAGAACGUAAUCUUGAGUUAGCAUUAAUUGGUAGAUUUUUCAGCCGCAACACCUCGAUCCAUUUAGAUAUACUUUUUCUCCAUGGAUAACAGUAGUCGAUGGUAUGUAACAUGAAUGUCCCAAUCUGAUCUGUUCACCGCACUGCAUUGAACAAUCGCUUUGGCAUUGUCCAUCAAAUACUUAACGUAUGCAAACAUAAGUCAUUGUUCAUUUAUAUUAAAGGUGUUAAACAUCAGAAUAACUUCGGAAUGAUAAAAAAGUUGAUUACAAUAGAAUGAUAAUUCGUCUUUCCGCUCAGCAAUUGUAUUUGAAUAUAGCGGUAAAUUCAUAAUUUUCAUGUGUUUCUUGUAGUUAUACAUUAGAUGAGGACAUCACAUUUGAAAUAUAUAAUAUAUAUUUCUGUAGUCAGUUUGUUGUAACAUCAGAACCAGAAUGUCAGUAAUGACAUGAUGACUGGUAACCUGAAGAAUUUGCAACUCACCUAAAAUCUCAGUGUUUCAAAGUUUAUGUAUUUUUUAUGCUAAUUGCCAUCAAACAAAAGUGAACUGCUGUGGUCUCCAUCUUCGUUUUUAUUAAUGCCAUCUUUAUUAAUGUAGUAAUUUUAGCUAACCUCAUUUUUGAGUUCAAACACAUAGAGUUUCUGCUUUUGUUUUUUGUCACCUUUGAUUACAAAAUGAUUUAUACAUGCUCUAAAAAUUCAAAGUUUUCUUCAAGUAUAUUUUAUUUCUGACAACCUAUAACAAAAAGCAAAAUGACAUGAACAUGCGAAAGUAAUGGAUUUAUGGAUGGAAAUUGAAAAACCAAAUUAGAGAUCACUGAAGCAUCAACAUUUCUGUUACCAUAUUAAUUCUGUUUGUCAGUUGCUGUAUAUUAAUAAAUGAACCAGUUUAUUGUGGAAUUUCCAGACAUUGCCAGGUGACCAUAGGUGAUAUGAGAAUAGGACUGUAUAUUCAAUCAAAGCUGACCUGCACAUUCUGUGAUGUUGAUGGUAGAGCUACACUCGUUUAAUCCUCAUUAUCACUGAUACAGUAUUUGAAAUGAUGAAGUAAAAUCCUGCCAACAUAACUCAUUUGUUUGAACUUUUUCCAAGUUCCUGUAAAAUAUAAUGUUGGACAUGAAUGCAGUAAUACAAAUUUUUAUCAGACAUUUGACUACUUGAAGUAGUGAAGUAGGACACAAGAUUGGUUCAUUAUUUACUGAGAACACAAGUAUAAGCAACACAUUUGACCACUUGAUGUUGUGAUAUGCCAUAGGAUAUUGAAUCGUCAAAGCAUUCCAUACAAAUAUCACCAGUCAUAAUUGAUCACUUGAUGUUGUACUGGACCAUGGCCAAAAGACUUUAUACAACUAUCAGACAUAUUUGACUAGUAGCUGUAAUGAUAAAUCAGAUUGGACUAUCUGUGCAGAGCUUGAUACAAGCAUAUUAGUGGCAGACAUAUUUGAUAGAAUGCCACAGCAACUUAUACCAUGGCAAGAGAGUAACAGAGAUAUUUGACCACUUGAUGUGAUAAAAUGGCGCAGUGGAUUUGACCAUUAUUUACCAAAGAACUUCAUACAAGCAUGAUUAUCAGCCAUAAUUGUCCUCUUAAUAAAAUAUCAGAAAAUUGAACCAAAGGAAACAGUAAAACUAUGGCCAGAGACAUGAUAGGAUGAAAUGGUACAGCAGACUACACCAUGCCGCAGGACUAUAAAUAUCAGAAGACAGUUUUUUCCAAUUGCAUAAUAACAUAGCACAUCAGGUUGCACAGUGGCCAGAAAACUUUAUGCAGGUAUUAUCAGACAAAUACCAUCAGCAAUGAUAGACUGACUACAACAACAAUAAGUUGUCCACUUUGGUUGAAAAGUUAAAAUCAUCCUCUUGAUUCAAUUGAUGUGCUGGCUGUCAAGAAAUUUAGACAUGAUAAGCAUACAAUAACAACAUGUUAAAGUCCAUUUAACUAAUUAUAAUGUUCAUGUGAUAUUUAGGAUGAUCCUGAAUUCAUCAUCAUAUGCAUUUUACAUACAAAUAUCUUGAGCAUUCCAACCUGCAAUUGGCAAACUGUCACAUAUAAAUUCAUAUAUGGACAUGCCUAUUAAGAAUAACAAUUUUAAAUAAAUAUAUUAUGGAGAGUAAAUUUUGUCAAUAUUUUUCAAAAUUUUAAGGUAAAAUACAACAAAACAUGAAGGUAAUUAAAAGAAAACCAAAUCUAUUGACAAAUUGUAACUUAACUGAAUUCCUAUGGAUUUUUUUUUAUAGUACUUGAAAGAUCAAAAACCAAUUUUACUCGAUAUUAUUUUGUUAUUUAUUAUUCUAAACCCAAAGUUCAAUUGCCAUAGUGGUAAAUUACUAACCAGCCACAGCAGUUCUUAAUUGUUUUUGGCAUUCUUGAUCUAACCUUGUUCUUGAUUAGCUGUUCAUACAGCAUAUCUUUUUCUUUGUCUUGUCUGUAAUGAAAAUUAUCGUGUUGGACCUUGGUGAUUAGUCUUGUUAUAUAUAAGUUGUGGCCUAGCUUCUGAACAUUUCUUGUUUGCCGAUAUUUGUUCUUAUGUAUUUAAAUAAUACAGGUAAUCAAAUUAAAAAAGCUUACAGGUUGUGACGGAGAAGGCACUGUCACCAUAAAAAGGUGGAAACAAUGUACUCCAUUUGGAAUGCAAGAGUACUGUACUGACAAUUACGAUAGUAUUCUAACCUUCUUUUGCCAAUUACGCCACCUCUCUUUCCUCUAGUAGAGGACGCUGGCACCAUUCUUGAAACGUGAAAGCCGAUUCAAGUGUUCAAAUUUCAUAAAUACUUGGCAAGUCCCUAUGUAAUUUUGUAAUAGCUUUUGUUCUUAUGGUUGAAUUUUCAGUUUGGCUUAAUUUACAGUACUGUAUUUGAUGAUGGUAAAUUUUGGUCAUUUAAGUUUUAAGUCAUCCAUCAGCCUGUUCUUUUAUUCUGUAUCAUCACUUAUGAUACAGAAAUCAUCUCUUGACAGGAAAUUGGCCCUGAUAAAGUGUACACUUUUCAAAGCAUUUUCUUGGCCAUCUUUUUGACCAUUCCAGUCUCAUAAAAAAGUAUAAAGUUUCAGGGUUUGCUCAAUCUCCAAUAUUUGAUGAUAGUAAAGUUUGGUCGUGUUGUCACUUAUGAUUUAGAAAUCAUCUCUGAGACAGGAAAUUGGCCCUCAUAAAGUGUAUGCACUUGUUCUUUUUAUACUGAUAUAGGUAGUUUUCUGCUCAGUCUUAUGAAAAAGUAAAAUUUUUCAUGUUAGCUUUAAUCUCCAGUAUUUGAUGAUAGUAAACUUCGGUCAUCUUUGUUUCAAGUCGUACAUCAGCUUCUUCUUUUAUUGUGUAUGGUGACUUAUGAUAUAGAAAUCAUCUCUUUGACAGAAAAUGGCCCUGAUAAAGUGUAUACACUUAUAAAAGCAUGGAAUGCUCCAUAUUAAAUUUUCUGGGCCAUCUGUUCCACUAAUGACGAUUCCUCCCAUCUUGUCAAGUUAUUGUAUGUAAUGACACUUCUAUUAGUUCAAACUAUUGUCUGUUAAUUGUCAACAAAUAGCUCAGAUGCAUCCAAAUCUUCCAAUCUCAUACACACUUCUUUUCUGCCCAGUGGCUGUUUGCAUGUAAUGUCUGAGGAGUAGCAAGAGGUGGAUGACGUGUAUCUGCUUUAUAGUUUUCUUGUACAAAAUGUAUAAACGUCGUGAUGGUGGAGUCAAGCUAUUGUUGUUUUAAGUCGUCCAUCAGUUUGUUCUUUCAUUCUGCAUCAUCACUUAUGAUAUAAAAAUCAUAUGAAUUGCCCUUCAAAACUUUUGAAUCUCCAUCUUUUUAUGAUUGUGCAAUCUUGUAUGGUUGUAUCAAGUUGCAUUCAGCUUGUUCUUUCAUUUUGUGUUAUCACUGAUGACAUAAAAGUCAUAAUUCUUCAAGUCCCAAAUGAUGUAUCUGAUGAUUGCGAAAGUCCAUCAGCUGCUUCUUUUAUUCUGCAUCAACAUCUGCUAUAUAAAAAUCAUAAGUAUUGCAUUUCAGAAGGGUUCGUUCAAUCUCCAUCUUUUCAUGAUGGUGCACUUUGGUUGUUCUUCCAUUUUGUGUUAUCACUAAUGACAUAAAAGUCAUAUACCUGCAAGUCCCUAAUAUCGUGCCAUCACAACUUUAACAGUUUGUAAACACUACAGAUUGAUUUUGACAUUUCAACAAAAGUGUUGAGAAUGUGAAAAUGUUUGAGUUUUGGGAACUUGUUGAGUUUUAUUGUAAUAUUGCUGUACAUUUUCUUUGUUUGGCCUGGUCAGAAACAGCAUUCUAACCGUGUUGUUAGCACAUAGUGUUACAGUGUUAAUUUGCUGCAUGACAAUUCUUUAAGAAUAAAAAAAACAAGGUUUGCACCUUACAAGUAGACAUUAGGGGAUGCAUAACAAUAUCUUGAAUUUCUGGAAUCUGUAACCAAUUUACCAUCUAUGUACUUAAAUCGUACAUGCCAUUGGCAUAUCAGUUUCUGUUUAAUUUAUGCAUCCAACAAGAUAUUUAACACAUUUUUUUGUGUUAAAAAGUUCCCUAGCAAAGUAACACCUUCUACUGAGCUUUUGCUUCCUUUCAUUUUUAAUUUUUCUGAAAUUUACCUUCAUACUGUAUUUUGUCACUGGAUUGUUACUCCUCGACCGAGCAUGACAUUGCAUUGUAGUGUUGCAGCCAUGAUAUGUUGAAGGACAAUUCUUUUGGUAGGGUGCAAACAGUGUUUUCACCCUACCAGUAAUCAUCAAGGAAUACGUGACAAUAUCUUGAAAUUCUGCAAUCUGAACUUGUUUUGGUGGAUGCAAUUUAUGCAUCCAACACAACAAUUAACACAUUUUCUUAAAAUGUUCCCUAGCAAACUAACCCCUUCCACUAAGCUUUCCCUUCCUUUCAUUUUCAGUUUUUCUACAAAUGUACUUUGUCACUGUAUUGUUACCUCCUUAACCAGGCAUGACAUUACUUUGCAUUGUAAUGUAGUCUAUGUUUGAAAGUACAUUAAAUAAAAAAGAAUUAAAUAAGUGCUGACAUCUUUGUGGUAUCUAAACAGCCAGUAAAGUAUGUUGUGUACAAUUUCUGGAUUCCCGGCCUCUUUAGUUUUUUUAUGAAGUUCAGGUUUGUUCCAUUUCCAUUUCUACAAGAUGUUGCACUAUGGUCUUCAUUUCUAGUCUCAGUCAGCUUAACUUCCAUUUUGUGUCAUCACUUAUGACAUAAAAAUCAUAUUUCUGAAGAUUUUCACAAUUCAACAAGUGUUGUGAAAGUUGAGAAUGUUGCUCUAAAUUACUACAGCUUGGUCAGAAACAUCCUUCUAACCGUGUUGUUGCCUCUAUGAUGUGCUGCUGAAAGAGAUUUCUAAGCAACCGAAAAAAGGUAAGUUCCCUAGCUAUGACCUCCAGUUAUAUAUGUGUGGUUCUGAUUGUCAAGACAGAGAAUUGAUUUACACGCGUACACCUUGAUGAGGGUUGAUAGGGUUUAUUCACCAAAAUGAUAUGUUUGAACUGAAAAUAAGAUUAUAAAAUUCAUAAAGAAACUCACUGAACUGUAAUACUAAAUAGUUAAAAUGUAAUAUUGUAAAUUAGUGGAAUGAGGUAUUGUUAACUAAUUAAAUUUCAUGUAGAAAGUAAACUAUAAACACACUGUAGAACUCAAAUAAACAGAAUAAUCCAUAAACUAUAAUUACUUAAUCACUAAAUUACCAAAUUAUCGUUAACAAAGCACAUACACAUGAUGCAGUCAAACUAUUAAACUACUGUAUUACACGGUACUUGUUGUACAGCAUAAAGGCCUAUAUUAUUUAUAUCAUAAGAUAUUUCAUAACAAAUUAAAUCUAAUCAAACCUAAAAUAUAACAUAAAAUAAAGUUAAACUUACAUUUGUAUCCUCUUCAGAACCGUUGAGUGAAUACAGUUAAAAUUGAUAUUAUAAUAAACAGUACAGUAGUUGAAACAGAAGUUGAAUUGGUGAGUUGAAUGUAUAGUGACUAGAUUAAGAAAAAUGCAAAGCCAAACCCUGUCAUAGGGGCAAGAUAUAAAAGACAAUUAGGCUCUCUGAUUGGUCAGUACUAAUUAGUGUGCCUGGUCUUAUAUUACUUUACCAUAUUGAGCAGGCCCUACUGGUAGUGGACAGGGCUAGUAGAAGAAGUUCACUCUAUACUAACAGGGUAGAGGAUUAAUUUCACUAGUUUAAACCUUACACUAGCAAACUAACCUAUCCUACUGAGCUUUCCCUUUCCCAAUUCACAAGCCAUAAAUAUUUCCUCGUAUAGCAAAUAUAAAGAAGACUUUGAAACAUUUUGUCCACUGCUUGUAGAACUGUAGGACUUGGCACCUAAUGGUGUGGCGUUCAACCACAACAAAUACCUGCUCCGGAUCUUCUGUAAAGGCCAAUGCCAGUAUGAAUGGCUGACUGAGUGUGUUUCUCACACCACAAUGUUUGUUCCAAUCUUUAAUAAAUGAAAAAAAUUAGUCAGAGCGCUAUUUCCCAGCAGUGUGUUUAAUCCAGUGACUGGUAGAACUAUUGUUGAGCACAUAAAGGUCUCUACAAUAUGUGCUUAUGUAUAUGUUUACAAUUUUAUUAUUAUUAUUAACUUCUGCUUACUAAGUUCAUGCAAAUAUUUCAAUAGGUUUUCUUUCAACAUUACUCAGAAUAUAAUGUUGUUGUUGAGGGAUGAAAAAAUUGCCUGUUAUUUGCAUCGUUGGCUACUUCAACCUAUCAGCGCUAACGGCAAGUUCAAAGUAGUGAAUAACUUGGCUCUCCUCAUAGCAUCCAGUGCCUCGUCGAUGAUGGGUAAUGGAAAUGGAUCUAUGGCUGUAUUGUAUACAACAAUUGACAGCUAGAAACAAUUCUAGAACAUGUGGAUGAUGUCCAAUAAUGGUUAUAACAGCUAGCAACUAGAAACAACUCAAGAACAUGUAGAUGAACAUGUGGAUGAAUUCCUUUUAUGUUCCAUCAUAAUUAUUUGCAAACUGUACCUACAACCAGUGCAUCAUUGGAUACCAUGUGUGGUAAUUACGGCUCCGGUCAGAUGUCAACAGAAUCAACAUAAUGAAUCUCUGCAGAGCGUUAAUUAUUAAUGUAUUUGCUAUUAAAUUAAUAUGAAGAUGAUCCGCAUUGUUUAUGCCAAUUUUAGAAUUCCUUAAGGAGCUUUCCAAUAGCUGCUUGUAAUGUCUGCAUCCCAAUGUGUGGAAGAAUUUUAAACUGUAAUUCAGUGUACCUUUCAUUUAAUGUUUUUAAUUUUUCAUAUCUUGUUGGUAAGUAAAAUCUGUCUUUUCAUAAAAUUUGGUUAAUAACAAGAUAUCUGAAAUCUAACUGCAUUUUGGUGGGUGCAAUUUAUACCUAACCUUAGAAUAAGCAAUUUUAAGUUUUAGCUAGAGUUUGCCCUCCAAUUGGACACCUAAAUAUUCAAAGUCACUUUUUUAGAGUACUGGUUACUGAUGUAUGGGUAUUUAUAUUGCGCCUUUCCCUUGCGGUUAUGAAGCGCAAGCCAAGCCUCAAUGAUUUAGGAAAACAGUGGCAGGCAUAAAAUUGGUCAUCAUUCACAAAGAUUCAAGAUUCAAAAUAACUUUAUUACAAACUUUGAAAUUUGAAAUGUACAGAAUAAUUAAUAAUAAUAUACAAAUAUAUAUGAAACAUUUAAAAUGCUCAAUUAAAAUUCAUCUCAACAUUAAAGUACAAAAAAAAAAUUUUAAAAAAAAAUCCACAAAAAGGAAAAUGCAGAAGAAAGUGACAGUACUAUCUUUUAACAAAAAGGUAACCUCCUAAAUGGAGACCGAACCCUGAGACCACCCCACAUGUUAAGGUCCCAAUUUGGAGGGCAAACUGUUGUUUUGAGCCCACUUGUGACUUUGUGGCUGAACGGUGGGCUUGGAGCUAUUAGUGGUAUCAGACUAAAGCUGAAAAUUGGGGGGGGGGUUGAAGGCAUUUUUCUUUGUGGCCGAGGUCACGAUUUAUUGUAGAGUUCUAGUUCAAGAUAGUUAAUAAAAACUUUUGUUCCUGACAAUUAUGAUCAUAAUAGAGUUUUUUUUUAUAAUCUGAAAUGACAAUAAUAAUAACAAUAUUUAAUGUAAGAACCAUAUCAUUAGGACUGGAAUGCUAUUUAUAUGGGAAAAAAAUAUAGGCUGACCAGAUAUUACAAUGUAUACAUCUCCUUAAAUUUACUAUUUGGCAGAGCAGUCUGAUAGAAAGUAUACGAUUUAAUAUAUUACAUUUCACCAUUUUAGAUUUAUUUACUUGGACACAUUUCCAACAAUUGACAUCUUUUGUAUCUUACCUACACGUUACAUCUGAAAUGACAAUGGAAUAAAAAUAUCCAACGUAAGAACCACAUCA
rnacentral:lncRNA from 1 species